AACGAACGCUGGCGGCAUGCCUAACACAUGCAAGUCGAACGAGACCUUCGGGUCUAGUGGCGCACGGGUGCGUAACGCGUGGGAACCUGCCCUUAGGUUCGGAAUAACUCCCCGAAAGGGGUGCUAAUACCGGAUAAUGUCUUCGGACCAAAGAUUUAUCGCCUUUGGAUGGGCCCGCGUUGGAUUAGCUAGUUGGUAGGGUAAAAGCCUACCAAGGCGACGAUCCAUAGCUGGUCUGAGAGGAUGAUCAGCCACACUGGGACUGAGACACGGCCCAGACUCCUACGGGAGGCAGCAGUGGGGAAUAUUGGACAAUGGGCGGAAGCCUGAUCCAGCUAUGCCGCGUGAGUGAUGAAGGCCUUAGGGUUGUAAAGCUCUUUUACCCGGGAUGAUAAUGACAGUACCGGGAGAAUAAGCUCCGGCUAACUCCGUG
rnacentral:rRNA from 1 species